CCAGGACUAAACCAGAACUAAACCAGGACUGAACCAGGUCUAAACCAGGACUAAACCAGGACUAAACCAGGACUGAACCAGGUCUAAACCAGGACUGAACCAGGUCUAAACCAGAACUAAACCAGGUCUAAACCAGGACUAAACCAGGUCUAAACCAGGACUAAACAAGGUCUAAACCAGAACUAAACCAGGUCUAAACCAGGACUAAACCAGGACUGAACCAGGACUAAACCAGAACUAAACCAGGAUUAAACCAGGUCUAAACCAGGACUAAACCAGGUCUAAACCCGGACUGAACCAGGACUGAACCAGGACUAAACCAGGACUAAACCAG
ensembl:lncRNA